rnacentral:lncRNA from 1 species
GAAUGGCAAGACAAAUGGAAAUGAAUAAAAGUGUUCUGGUGCUAUUUAGUGAGUUUUGAGUUUGAACUAGAGAUUCAGGUGUCUGCUUAUGGUGACAUUAACUCACAGGUAAAUGAGGUGGUUUAUGAAAAGCACAGUGAUAGACUAUAAAAGGCCACAUGAAUAUAUGGUAUGGUUUUGUCAGCGCUAUUUGAUUUAAAGGCAUGCUAGACACAUUUAUUUUCUUUAAGCUUGUGUUAACCUCACAACUACCAUUUCUAAAUUUGGAUUUCUCCUUACAAUCUUUAAGUCUGUUACUAACCACUUCGCUCGUAUUUCAUCCCUUUAAAUAGCGCUGAACCUGUUGUCCCAGAUCAUUUUACAGACAAUUAGUUCAAUCUGUAGGAUCUGAAAUAAAAUAGUCUCCUUGUAAGACAAAAGCCAUACUUUACCACUACCUCCUAUGAACACCUUCUGGAGCUUUGUUGUGUUCACACCUUUCCGAGGUUUGGACAUAAUUUUUAUUCUUACCUGUA